rnacentral:rRNA from 1 species
AUUGAACGCUGGCGGCAGGCCUAACACAUGCAAGUCGAACGAGUGGCGGACGGGUGAGUAAUGUCUGGGAAACUGCCUGAUGGAGGGGGAUAACUACUGGAAACUGUAGCUAAUACCGCAUACCAUCAGAUGUGCCCAGAUGGGAUUAGCUAGUAGGUGGGGUAAUGGCUCACCUAGGCGACGAUCCCUAGCUGGUCUGAGAGGAUGACCCGCCAAACUGGAACUGGGAAACGGGCCAGAAUCCUACGGGGGGCAGCAGUGGGGAAUAUUGCACAAUGGGGGCAAGCCCGAGGCAGCCAUGCCGGGUGUAUGAAGAAGGCCUUCAGGUUGGAAAGUACUUUCAGCGGGGAGGCGGUACCCGGAGAAGAAGCACCGGCUAACUCCGGGCCAGCAGCCGCGGUAAUUC